rnacentral:rRNA from 1 species
CCUACGGGCGACAGCAGUGAGGAAUAUUGGUCAAUGGUCGGGAGACUGAACCAGCCAAGCCGCGUGAGGGAUGAAGGUACAGAGUAUCGUAAACCUCUUUUGUCAGGGAACAAAGGCGGGGACGUGUCCCCGGAUGAGUGUACCUGAAGAAAAAGCAUCGCCUAACUCCGUGCCAGCAGCCGCGGUAAUACGGAGGAUGCGAGCGUUAUCCGGAUUUAUGGGGGUUAAAGGGUGCGCAGGCGGUCUGUUAAGUCAGCGGUCAAAGCCCGGGGCUCAACCCCGGCCCGCCGUUGAAACUGGCAGUCUCGAGUUGGAGAGAAGUAUGCGGAAUGCGCGGUGUAGCGGUGAAAUGCAUAGAUAUCGCGCAGAACUCCGAUUGCGAAGGCAGCAUGCCGGCUCCACACUGACGCUGAGGCACGAAAGCGUGGGUAUCGAACAGGAUUAGAUACCCUUGUAGUC